rnacentral:rRNA from 1 species
CCUACGGGAGGCAGCAGUGGGGAAUAUUGGACAAUGGGGGAAACCCUGAUGCAGCGACGCCGCGUGAGCGAAGAAGUAUUUCGGUAUGUAAAGCUCUAUCAGCAGGGAAGAAAAUGACGGUACCUGACUAAGAAGCCCCGGCUAACUACGUGCCAGCAGCCGCGGUAAUACGUAGGGGGCAAGCGUUAUCCGGAUUUACUGGGUGUAAAGGGAGCGUAGACGGCAGUGCAAGUCAGAUGUGAAAGCCUGGGGCUCAACCCCGGGACUGCAUUUGAAACUGUGAUGCUGGAGUGUCGGAGAGGUAGGCGGAAUUCCUAGUGUAGCGGUGAAAUGCGUAGAUAUUAGGAGGAACACCAGUGGCGAAGGCGGCUUACUGGACGGUGACUGACGUUGAGGCUCGAAAGCGUGGGGAGCAAACAGGAUUAGAUACCCUAGUAGUC